GUUGGUUUCAUUCAUUUUUCAAAGAAACGUCAAAACAUUCACCCUCUUGGUUCGGAAGCGGUUUGAAUGAAUAGUAAACCAAUUUGAUGUUGCUGUCGUAAACGAAAAUACGAACCAUCGUUCGAAGUUCGUAUUCGGCGUAAAGAAGAAUAAGAAGAAUGUAUGAUCUCAGCUCAGAAACAUUGACUAGUGCAGAAUGUAGUCGAUGGUUUCUCCGAAUUCGGACGGAUGCUAUUGUUAUCAAUGGUCCGCAUAUGAUGUCUUAUGUAAUCCCCACAACAACUUUACAUUUCUAUCUCUACGUACAGUGUUUGACGAAAGGCAACAUCUUUCCACUCAAUAGAUUGGAUUCGUACAGCUUCGAAAGUUGACCAGGUUCGGGUGCAUCGCAGGUUAUCGACAUUAGUAGUGCCAUCGGUGAGCUGUAGAACGAAUGUGAUGCGGCAAUGAAAAAGCUAGCACUUCGUCCGCGCCCAUGUUGCUAACCCUGCAUUCAAGACCCAAGCAUAGUAGUGCAACAUCUGUAAGAGAUUGGAACGGCCGUAUGAACACCCCGGUCCAGACGAAUAGCUGGGGAGGUACUUUGUACGGCGAUGGUUCACUUGGCGAUAGACCACUUGGAGUACUACUCGUGGGGUAUGCGGAAUGUGUUUGCCUUUGGUUUUAUCCUUACCAAUGCAGAUUUCUCUAUGCAGACAGAAUGUCAACAGACAAUUCAUAUUCUGAACGUGAAGCCCAUGAAGAGCAACUGCUAGCACGUUAGGUUUUGGCUGCGCAGAUCAAGAUGCCGGAUACGUUGUGAAAAAACGUGGAUGUAUUUCAAUAUUAGAUAUACAACGAACGAUAAGAAUCAUUACUGGUGCAGUUCAAAUAAACCUCUAAAAUAAUACCACUGACAAAUAUUGAGCCUGGCUGGUUAAUUAAAUUUUUAGUAUAAUCUGCUCAA